rnacentral:pre_miRNA from 1 species
AGAGUAACUGAACAAAUACUGGUCUUAGCAGAUUGAGGAGAGCACCAUAGUGGUUGUCCUCACAGUCAGCUGAGGUUGGAGCUGAAGAAUCGACACU